rnacentral:rRNA from 1 species
CGGUGGAGCAUGUGGUUUAAUUCGAAGCAACGCGAAGAACCUUUACCAGGUUCUUGACAUCCCGAUGCUAUUUCUAGAGAUAGAAAGUUACUUCGGUACAUCGGUGACAGGUGGUGCAUGGUUGUCGUCAGCUCGUGUCGUGAGAUGUUGGGUUAAGUCCCGCAACGAGCGCAACCCCUAUUGUUAGUUGCCAUCAUUCAGUUGGGCACUCUAGCGAGACUGCCGGUAAUAAACCGGAGGAAGUGGGGAUGACGUCAAAUCAUCAUGCCCCUUAUGACCUGGGCUACACACGUGCUACAAUGGUUGGUACAACGAGUUGCGAGUCGGUGACGGCGAGCUAAUCUCUUAAAGCCAAUCUCAGUUCGGAUUGUAGGCUGCAACUCGCCUACAUGAAGUCGGAAUCGCUAGUAAUCGCGGAUCAGCACGCCGCGGUGAAUACGUUCCCGGGCCUU